CCUACGGGAGGCUGCAGUGGGGAAUAUUGCACAAUGGGGGAAACCCUGAUGCAGCGACGCCGCGUGAGUGAAGAAGUAUUUCGGUAUGUAAAGCUCUAUCAGCAGGAACGAGACAAGACGGUACCUGACUAAGAAGCCCCGGCUAACUACGUGCCAGCAGCCGCGGUAAUACGUAGGGGGCAAGCGUUAUCCGGAAUCACUGGGUGGAAAGGGAGGGUAGACGGCUGAGCAAGCCUGAAGUGAAAGGCGGGGGCCCAACCCCCGGACUGCUUUGGGAACUGUACGGCUGGAGUGCAGGAGAGGUAAGUGGAAUUCCUAGUGUAGCGGUGAAAUGCGUAGAUAUUAGGAGGAACACCAGUGGCGAAGGCGGCUUACUGGACUGUAACUGACGUUGAGGCUCGAAAGCGUGGGGAGCAAACAGGAUUAGAUACCCGUGUAGUC
rnacentral:rRNA from 1 species